UCCUACGGGGGGCAGCAGUGGGGAAUAUUGGGCAAUGGGCGCAAGCCUUACCCAGCAAUACCGCGUGAGUGAAGAAGGUCUUCGGAUUGUAAAGCUCUUUGAUCAGGGACGAACAGAUGACGGUACCUGAAGAACAAGCCCCGGCUAACUACGUGCCAGCAGCCGCGGUAAUACGUAGGGGGCAAGCGUUAUCCGGAUUCACUGGGUGUAAAGGGAGCGUAGACGGCGACGCAAGUCUGGAGUGAAAGCCCGGGGCCCAACCCCGGGACUGCUCUGGAAACUGCGUUGCUGGAGUACGGGAGGGG
rnacentral:rRNA from 1 species